rnacentral:rRNA from 1 species
UACGAAGGGAGCAAGCGUUGCUCGGAUUUAUUGGGCGUAAAGGGUGUGUAGGUGGUUUGAUAAGUUAGAUGUGAAAGCCCCGGGCUUAACCCGGGAAUUGCAUUUAAGACUGUUGAACUUGAAGAUCGAAGAGGUAAGCAGAAUUCCCAGUGUAGAGGUGAAAUUCGUAGAUAUUGGGAAGAAUACCAAUGGCGAAGGCAGCUUACUGGUCGAUACUUGACACUGAGGCACGAAAGCGUGGGGAGCAAACAGG